UUGCAAUCAUUUUUAAAGGACUAGAAAGUGGUAAAGAAUGAUUUACAAGGGAUUUUAAAAGCUAUUAAAAGGGGUUUACUUGAUUAAUAAUCGUUUUAGAAGCAUAACUUAGUGGCAUAGAAUGAUUUACAAGGAAUUUUAAAAGGUUUUAAAAG
rnacentral:sRNA from 1 species